GCCGGAGUAGCUCAGCUGGUCAGAGCAGCGGAAUCAUAAUCCGCGUGUCGGGGGUUCGAGUCCCUCCUCCGGCA
rnacentral:tRNA from 1 species